AGGUGCCUUUCUAGACAGCAGGACUCUCUGUCUUUAACUCUUCGAUAGGCUCUCCCGCCCCAGGAAGCAAAGCAAGAGAAAGGGGGCGGCCCUUCUCCUCCUCCUCCUCCUUCUGCGUCGCUUUGCAGAAGUACGAGAAGACGCCGCAAUAGCGGAAGACGGUGCCACGAAAGGGAAUCAUUAUUGUUUUGGCUCUUACAGAAACGAGGCCUGGCUGGAAGCGACCCCGCGAGGAAGAGGCAACGCCUGUAGCAAAGCUCGGAGCACGACCCCUUGGUCUGGUCCUGGUGUGGCUCCGCUCAUUGUGCCAGGGCCCGGGAUCACCAAAGCAUUACUUGUGGCUGACCGCAGGAUCCGGCGAGGGACAUAUCGAACCAGGCGGUCUUGGAGGUGUGAGCUCCGGCUGAAGCUCUUUCCACAU